GCAGUGUAGACUUGCUGCUGAAGCAAUGUGCUGUUCCUAAGGACUUGUGCAAACUGGACACCAGCUCCCAAAGCAACACCUCAGCCCCCAGCAAGCGGCAAUCUCAUCUUGCUGAGCGAUGGAGGCAAGAAAAGCCACCAGACAGGAUGAUGCUGAGCUGCCCAAAACCCUCGAGUCCCUGUCUGAACGCAUCAGGGCCCUGCUAACAGUGCUGGAAGCCCAGCAGCAACGGCUCCAGGAAAAGACUGCCAGCCUUGACCUGCUGAUGACGGAGCUCGCCGGACUGCGGGCCUCUCUCAAGGCACCUGCUGGGAUGGAGAACAGCUCCUUGGCUCUGCAGAAAGAGAAGAAUCACCCCUGAAGUGCUAGCUGGGUUGGCCUGGCCACCAGCCUGUUGCUGGAAGAACCCUUCACAUAAGCAUGCUUGCUGUCCAGGAAAUAUGUAGCCCUUUCUCUUUUGAGCUCUGCUAAGCUGGCUUUGCUUUGUCCCCUGAUGCUUGCAGCAUGGAAAUAAAGUGAUUUAUGUGCCCCUUUGCCACUCUAGGAAAAACUGCAGCCCUGCCCCAGCCAAGAGCAAGUUAACCAACCAGCCCCUGUAACCUGCAGGCAGCAGAGACUUGCUGACCCAAGGCUGUAAGUGAAAGAGGAAAGGGAAUUUCCCUUCCUGCCCUUAAUUUUACACUAAAAAUGCAGCA